rnacentral:lncRNA from 1 species
AUAUUAGGAACAACUUUUACUUUUCGGAGACGCGUCGUGAUCUACGGAUACGGGGCGUGCCAAGGAAAGAAGAGUUGUUUACCUAGUACUUUUCGGAGACGCGCCGUGAUCUACGGGUACGGAGCGUGCCGAGGAAAGACAGGUAUUUUUCUUAAGAUUAAUCACAUCUAUUUAGUUAAAAAAAGAGAUACAACUCUGCUAGUGCAAAUUAAUUCAAAACUCCUGAGCUCUUUAUUUUUUUAAUUACCUCAAUUUUAAGAUAAUUUAUUUUCUAAAUCAAAAACAACGCUUCUUUCUUUUACCUUGCAAUCUCAACUUAG